AGUAAAUAUGUUUUCCAACCUAUGCAUUAUUUUAUUAAAAUUAUCUUAAAGGAACUACCAAGAAAACAAAAAUGCAAACAGCUAAAUGGGAGAAGAUAUUUGCAAACGAUAUCUUCAAUAAGGCGCUAAUAGUCAAAAUAUAUGAAGAACUCAUACAACUCAACACAUUUUGGAAGUUUUUCUCUGGCUGUAAUAGGGCAUGGAAGCUGGCUAGGUAGAGAGAGGAGAUAGCUUCGGUAUGUAGACCACUGCGGUAAUCUUCUCAAGGAGGGAAAGGAAUAAAGUGAGAAGGGAGAGAAGGAGACCCUGAGCUGCUGAGAUUUCAAGAAACUCGGAGGAGGGAGAGAGAGGGAGGAGCAGUGCGAGGCAGGGGUGCGGGUCUGGGAGGUGGGGGCGCGGGUUUGGGACUCGGACCGUAAGCAAAGUGAGGGCGGGGACUCGGGAGCGCGGCCACCUACUCUCUGCUCCUUCACUGUCCCUAGAAAAGGAGCGCGGCUCGGGCUGCGGAGCUGACUUGGGAGCCCCGCGGCGGCGGCAGCAGAGCCCACAGCGCCUCCCUCGGAGAUCCAGAGCCUCCCAGCCAAGCGCGCGGCGCCGCCGAGACCGUUCAGCUAGCUGGGCGAGCUCAGGGAGCCGGGUGUGCGCUCUCAGCGGGUCGCGGAGCGCGCUUCCCGCCUUUCGCCCAACCCGGGCGAGCAGCCCGCAGGAGCAGACCGAGGGAGCGCAGCGAAAGCAGGACACCGCGCCAGGACACGCGCCUCGGCCGCGUACCAAAGAAUAUGGGUUUUGCCAUAAGAAGAUGGUUUUGCCUACCACUGGGGUGCAUGAUGCUGAUCAAUCUGAUUAAUGCAGAUUUUGAAUUUCAAAAGGGAGUGCUUGCCAGUGUGAGCCCAGGGAUUAUGGAAGACAUUGAUCUCCAGUGCUGGAACGUGUGCUCUUUGACAUUGAUAGAUCUCAAGGAACUUAAGAUAGAGCACAAUGUGGAUGCUUUCUGGAAUUUCAUGUUGUUCUUGCAAAAAUCCCAGCGGCCCAGACAUUAUAAUGUCUUCUUAAACAUAGCUCAGGAUUUCUGGGACAUGUAUGUGGACUGCUUGCUGUCAAGAUCUCAUGGAAUGGGCAGAAGACAGGUGAUGCCUCCCAAGUACAAUUUUCCACAGAGAAUAACAGGAAGUAGUUUAAAUGUAUACUUUAGAGAAUAGCAGUUUAGUUUUCUUAAAAAUUCAAUAUUUAAUCCUUUUUAUUUUUCAAGUUUAUCCAACAAGCUAGGAAACUUAUCAUAUUUUUUCCUAAUAUGAUUGGCUUAUUUUUACUGAUCUCAUGUUAUUUAGAAACCACAGGAGCUCUAAUGUACAAACACUUGAUUCUAUAUGGUCUUGGAAUAUAGUACAUUUUGGUAGAUCAUUAAAAUUAUCUUAUUUUUUUUUCCCAUGAAAAGUUCAUGAGAAAACCAUUUAACACUGUAAUCAUAUUACAUUUGUUGAAUAAAUUUUAAACAUUGGACAUUUAGGCUUUUGAAAUUAAUUUCUUCAAUAGAGUUGUUUAAAAGGAGGGAAUCUCAAGUAAGUAUUAAGUUUCUCUUGUAAAGGGCUGAAUUUUACAAAAUGUGAAUUUUACAUUUAAAGGAGAACAUGGAAAAUAUCUCAAGCAAGAUGACACCAACCUGAGUUUAACUCUGUCCGUAUUUAUGAGGUCAAAUAUUUCCUGUAGUAUUUAUCAAAAUUGUUAUUUCUAAUUCUUUAAUAUCGACAAAGCUUGUAUUUUUGUUGAUGUGUAAUUGCCUUAUAGCUAUUGAAUGAUUUUCCAUCUUUUCAGAUAAUUUUUAAUAGCUAUUUAUUUUAAAGCCAUCUUUGUAAGCAUCUUUAUUUUAAAGAAAAUGGCACCUAAAAUGCAAAUGCAACAUAUUUUUUUAAUACAACAGUUAAUGGAGUAAAAUUGUAACCAAUUUUAUAAAGUAACUUAUACAUAAUAUUCACUUUAAAAGUGUGCCAAAACUAAUGGCAGUAUUGUUAUAAAAAGUAAUUUUAAUUUUGAUGUGCAUGUACUGUGGUUUCUGAUAUGUGCAUUUCAUCACUGAGCCAUCUUAUAUAUUAAAGUAUUGUUCUAUGCAUU